CAUGGUGUGGCAUAGUGGUUAGAGUGUUGGACUACGACUCUGCAGACCAGGCAUCGAGUCCCAGCUCCACCA